CGCCUGCCCUGUGACAAAUGUUUAACGGCCGCGGUAUUUUGACCGUGCAAAGGUAGCGCAAUCACUUGUCUUUUAAAUGAAGACCUGUAUGAACGGCAUAACGAGGGCUUAACUGUCUCCUUUUUCUAGUCAAUGAAAUUGAUCUUCCCGUGCAGAAGCGGGGAUAUAACCAUAAGACGAGAAGACCCUAUGGAGCUUUAGACACAAGACAGAUCUUGUUAAACAAUUCAAAAUAAAGAAACAAACUAAAAGAACCCUGUCCCUUUGUCUUUGGUUGGGGCGACCACGGGAAGACAAACAACCCCCACGCGGACUGGGAAAACAGUUCUCACAACCAAGAGCUACAGCUCUAAUCAACAGAAAUUCUGACCUCAAGAUCCGGCAGCGCCGAUCAACGGACCGAGUUACCCUAGGGAUAACAGCGCAAUCCCCUUUUAGAGUCCAUAUCGACAAGGGGGUUUACGACCUCGAUGUUGGAUCAGGACAUCCUAAUGGUGCAGCAGCUAUUAAGGGUUCGUUUGUUCAACGAUUAAAGUCCU
rnacentral:rRNA from 1 species